AGUAAGGGGACAUGCACCCCAAGGGCCUCCACUUGGCCUGACCUUGCUGCAGGGGCUCUCUGUCCCCAGGAACAGUGGAGAUGGCAAGCUUAUCGAGACCCUCUCUGCCCAGCUGCCUCUGCUCCUUCCUCCUCCUCCUCCUCCAAGUGUCUUCCAGCUACGCAGGGCAGUUCAGAGUGAUAGGACCAAGACACCCUAUCCGGGCUCUGGUCGGGGAUGAAGUGGAAUUGCCGUGUCGCAUAUCUCCUGGGAAGAACGCUACAGGCAUGGAGGUGGGGUGGUACCGCCCCCCCUUCUCUAGGGUGGUUCAUCUCUACAGAAAUGGCAAGGACCAAGACGGAGAGCAGGCACCUGAAUAUCGGGGCCGAACAGAGCUGCUGAAAGAUGCUAUUGGUGAGGGAAAGGUGACUCUCAGGAUCCGGAAUGUAAGGUUCUCAGAUGAAGGAGGUUUCACCUGCUUCUUCCGAGAUCAUUCUUACCAAGAGGAGGCAGCAAUGGAAUUGAAAGUAGAAGGUGAGUAGUGCUAUAUAAUAUUAGGUAUUAACUGUUGGGUGGCCAAGAACAAUUAUUCUCUCAACUGAGAUGAGAUCCCUCAACCCAAACAUCUCACUCCUGGGAAUGAAUUCCAUACAAAUGUACACGUAAAUAAACAGAAACUCAUGCUUAGGGAUGUCUGUUGCAUCAUUAUUCAGAGUAGCAAGGAAAUUGGGAUCAAAAUCAAUGCCUUUGAGUAGGUAAGUGACUGAAUAAACAUGGUAGCCAUACUGUGA
rnacentral:sRNA from 1 species